rnacentral:rRNA from 1 species
AUUGAACGCUGGCGGCAGGCCUAACACAUGCAAGUCGAGCGGAGCGGCGGAGGGGAGAGGAAUGCUUAGGAAUAGGCCUGGUAGUGGGGGAUAACGUUCGGAAACGGGCGCUAAUACCGAAUACUAUCAGACGCGUUUAGGUCUGAUUAGGUAGUGGGUGGGGGAAAGGCCUACAAAGGCGACGAUCCGUAACUGGUCCGGGAGGAUGAUCAGUCACACUGGAACGGAGACACGGUCCAGACUCCGACGGAAGGCAGCGGUGGGGAAUAUUGGACAAUGGGCGAAAGCCUGAUGCAGCCAUGCCGCGGGGGUGAAGAAGGUCUUCGGAUUGUAAAGCACUUUAAGUUGGGAGGCGGUACCAACAGAAUAAGCACCGGCUAACUUCGUGCCAGCAGCCGCGGUAAUUC